CGUGUAGUUUCGUUCCAAAAUUGUAAAAAAUGAACAAUUUUUGAAAUUCGUUCCCGAUAAAAUACCACUCCGCCAUAGUUCACCUUUCUUUCACACCCUUUCACCUUUGCACACACAGAGGAGAAGAAGAAGAACGCUCGACCUUGAAUCCUCGACACAGCAGAAGAGCUAAUCCUCAGUCAGCUACCAUCACUCGUCAGCGAUCUUCACCUCGGAUUCAGAUUCGCUACACACCAAGUUAGUCUCAUGUUUGAUUAACCAAGUCGGCUCAGCUCGAUCAAUGAACGUGUCAAGGUCAAGAACGGCCCAUUUAUAAUUGAUUGUUCUCAGUGCAAGGGGCAAGCCCAACUGUUGAUCGAUUCACCUGAUGACCAUUUACAAGCCCGAUUCAGCUUGACCUACUAGUCUAACCAUUUGUAAGCUAUAUAUUAAUAUUUUAAUCAAUUAUUAAAUGUGAUUAUUUGUAAAUUCUCCUAAAUUACUGUUGAUUUAAACCAUUGAUGGGUGGGUUAAUCUGUUUGUCCCUUUGACCAUUAAAAUUGAUUGUUGUAACCAAUUUUAUUUAUUUUUUCCUUUUUUAUCCUUUAAUUAUAUAUAUCUUUCUCUCUUUAAGUGAACCUUUUUUCCUACUUUCACUGUUCCUCUCUCUCGCCAGCUCUUUUCCAUGUUCCCCUCCUUGGCUACAAGUCUGCUAUCAAAAGAUAAGAUUCCUCCACCCAUCCCUUCCCCUGUCCCUACAGUACAAGAGAAAAGCAAGCUUCAUACCAUAAAACAAAGGAAAGAAAAGAAAAGAGAAAGUGAAAGUGAAAGUGAAAGUGAGUGAAUCAUACAGGCGAAGGAAUCCGAGAAGAGUGGGGUCAAGACUCUGGACUGGACUCUUUCUUGAGGAUUGACUAUGGAAGGAUUAUAGACUUAAGAAUUGUACAACUUUAAUGCUCUCAACAUAGGAAAGACAGAGAGUAGUGUUAAGUUCUUAGAAGGGUGGGUGUGGUCGGCAUGGAUCGAGAGGAAUGGAAGUAGUGGAAGGAGAGAGGAAGUCGUGAGAGGUGAGAGAAUAAAGGAGAUAUUGAGCUCUAGUCCAAGAAAUUACAUUAGUAGACAUGUGUUAGAUCAAACACCAAGAAAUACGAAAAA